UAAUAAUUUUUUUUUAUUUAUUUUUUAAAAAAGAAAAAUCUUUAUAUUUAAAAAGUUUCUAAUGUUAUUUGUUGGUUUAACGAUUUUUUUUAACGAUUCUUUUUUUUUAUUAUUAUUUUAUUUUGAAAAUUGAAAAGUUAACGUCUUGAAGGAUCUAAUGAGGCUCGCGCAAUGACCGAUAAAAUGGAGAUAUUGUGUUUAAGCAAUACCUAUAAUCAAAGAAGAGAAGAAAAGGUAUCUCCAGCGAGAAAAUUUUAUCAAAAUGGAGUUGAUUUUGUUCAACCACAGGCAGCGAAACCAGCUGGAAUGGUUGUUGCACUGAAGAUUAGGGUGUGAAUUGUUGGGUAGAAGAUGAACUCAUCACUGGAGGUUCUUCAAAGCAGAAUGUUGGAGUUUGACAGCCUCCUGAAACUUCGUCUAAACACAAACGAUGAGUCUUUCAAAAAGAAUUGAUUUGUAGAAGAUUUACGCAUAUACACUCAAGAAACUAAUUAAAUAUAUGUCAUGUAAAUCAAUAUAAUUAAUUGUAGUUGGUAAUGGUGAUUAGGCAAGAUUGAGGUUCACUUUUUGUUGGUUAUUAUGUUGUUCAUAUAUAUGCUGGUCUUAUUGGUUUUACUGCUAUUUUUUUUUGGGUCGGUACAACACUUAAUUUUAUAUUAUUUUAUAUACUUUUAAUUAAUUAAACACUUACUUUUGAAUAUAUGUCUCAAUAUCAAGCGAAGAAAAUUCCUUAGCUCUCACAUAAACUUGUACUCUCUUAUUUAGAUUAGCUAAUAACAUCAACUUGUUGAAAGAAACAUUAUGUACCAGGUUUGUCUUAUUUGAUAGUAGCAGUAUAUUAAUUGUUAUGUUUAUAAU